rnacentral:piRNA from 1 species
UCUCGCAGAAUGAUCCUUGAA